rnacentral:rRNA from 2 species
GCUUGCUUCUCUGAUGUUAGCGGCGGACGGGUGAGUAACACGUGGGUAACCUACCUAUAAGACUGGGAUAACUCCGGGAAACCGGGGCUAAUACCGGAUAAUAUUUUGAACCGCAUGGUUCAAUAGUGAAAGACGGUUUCGGCUGUCACUUAUAGAUGGACCCGCGCCGUAUUAGCUAGUUGGUAAGGUAACGGCUUACCAAGGCGACGAUACGUAGCCGACCUGAGAGGGUGAUCGGCCACACUGGAACUGAGACACGGUCCAGACUCCUACGGGAGGCAGCAGUAGGGAAUCUUCCGCAAUGGGCGAAAGCCUGACGGAGCAACGCCGCGUGAGUGAUGAAGGUCUUCGGAUCGUAAAACUCUGUUGUUAGGGAAGAACAAAUUUGUUAGUAACUGAACAAGUCUUGACGGUACCUAACCAGAAAGCCACGGCUAACUACGUGCCAGCAGCCGCGGUAAUACGUAGGUGGCAAGCGUUAUCCGGAAUUAUUGGGCGUAAAAGCGCGCGUAGGCGGUUUCUUAAGUCUGAUGUGAAAGCCCACGGCUUCAACCGUGGAGGGUCAUUGGAAACUGGGAAAACUUGAGUGCAGAAAGAGGAGAGUGGAAUUCCAUGUGUAGCGGUGAAAUGCUGCAGAGAUAUGGAGGAACACCAGUGCCGAAUGCGGCUCUCUGGUCUGUAACUGACGCUGAUGUGCGAAAGCGUGGGGAUCAACAGGAUUAGAUACCCUGGUAGUCCACGCCGUAAACGAUUGAGUGCUAGUUGUUAGGGGGUUUCCGCCCC